rnacentral:misc_RNA from 1 species
UAUAAGUUCAGCAAACAUUGAAAACCCGAACGCCAGAAAAUUACAUAUAUUACAGAUUUGCGAAUACUUUAGUUUUUUGUUUUGUUUUUUUUUUGCGUAUCAUCAAGCGUUGGUACACAUGAAAGUGCAUCAAAUCAAAAGCAACGCUGCCAAACAAUUCAAAACAAUUGGCAAACACGAACAUUGUGUAUGUGGGUAUGUGUUGUGUGCAUGUAAAGGUGUGCUUGUGUGUGCGCGUGCUGGCAAACCGAAGAAGAAGUGACGUUUACAGCAAAAAACAAGUAUCUCAUCUAAAUUUGAAGUGAAAUUAAAGUAAAAUAAAAACACAUCGUCGUCUGGCCAAACACAAGUUUUCCAUGGAUUUCGGAUGUGCAUUUGAUUUAAAACACGACGUCGCUUCGCUCGUUGUUUUCGUUUAAAUAUUCGCCAUCUUCGCCCAGAAUUCCAAUUAGAAAGAAAAUUAACGAUCGAAUAUUUGUGCGAUGUGGAGCUGAGCUGAUCUUAGUUAUGCGUUCACGGAGCUACUGUUGAGAUCACCCCACAGGGACAACAAGUGAAAGAAGACAACAGCAAGCAAGUGAAGCAACGAGGUCGUGUUGAGUUGCCAAAAAGUGUAGUAACGAGUAACAAGCACAGAGUAACGAGCAGCGAGUAACAAGAACGAAAGCUGAUUCAACGAGCGGAGGCGGAAGCUGAAUUUGGUUGGUUGUCGUGUCAGCAUCGUCAUACAGAAAUGACACUGACCACAACGGCCACACCACCGAAGAGCAAUAAGAAAAUGGAUGUGAAGGUUUUACCAGCCGAAGAGAAUCUGCCCACCUCUGAAAUGGAUCUACUCGCCAAGCUGGAGGCCGCCAACAAGCUAAUUGAAAGCGAUGCCAAGAGCCUUAACUCGCUGCACUCAACGCAUAGUCGCAAAAACUCGGACACGAGCCAAAUAAGCAUUACUUCAAGCGGCAAUUCGGUUGCCGAGGAGGAUAUUUGGACGACAUGGGCGUCCAUAUUGAAUGAUUGGGAGGGUGCUCUCAAGCGCAAAAAUCCGUGUGUCCGUGAACUGGUGCGUCGCGGCAUACCGCAUCAUUUUCGCGCGAUUGUCUGGCAGCAGCUGAGUGGCGCUGCCGAUGCUGAUAAGAAACAGUAUGCAGAGUAUAUUAAGGCGACGUCCGCCUGUGAGAAAGUGAUUCGGCGCGAUAUAGCGCGCACAUAUCCGGAGGUGGACUUCUUCAAGGAGAAAGACGGGCCCGGCCAGGAGGCGCUCUUCAAUGUGAUCAAGGCAUAUUCGCUGCACGAUCGCGAAGUGGGCUAUUGUCAGGGCUCCGGUUUUAUUGUUGGGCUGCUGCUCAUGCAGAUGCCCGAAGAGGAGGCGUUUGCGGUGCUUGUGCAGAUAAUGCAACAGCAUCGCAUGCGGCAUAUGUUUAAGCCAUCGAUGUCGGAGCUCGGUCUAUGCAUGUACCAAUUGGAGAAUCUGGUACAGGAGCAAAUACCCGACAUGCACUUGCAUUUCCAGCAGCAGGGCUUCCAGACGACCAUGUAUGCGUCCAGCUGGUUCUUAACGCUCUACACGACCACAAUGAAUGUGAACCUCAGCUGCCGCAUCAUGGACGUCUUUCUCAGCGAAGGCAUGGAAUUUAUUUUCAAGGUUGCAAUGGCACUUCUUUUAACCGGUAAGGAGUCGCUCCUGUCCCUCGACAUGGAGGCCAUGCUCAAGUUUUUCCAAAAAGAGCUACCUGGGCGCGUCGAGGCCGAUCCGGAAGGCUUCUUCAAUCUGGCUUAUGCACAGAAAAUCAAUACAAAGCGCAUGAAGAAAAUGGAGAAAGAGUAUCAAGACUUGAAGAAAAAGGAACAGGAGGAGAUGGUUGAGCUGCGACGAUUGCGGCGUGAGAACUGCUUGUUAAAACAGCGCAACGAAUUGCUCGAGGCUGAAAGCGCUGAGCUAGCCGAUCGUCUGGUUCGUGGUCAAGUCUCUCGCGCCGAGGAAGAGGAGACCAGCUAUGCCAUUCAAACGGAGCUAAUGCAGCUUCGACGCUCCUAUUUGGAGGUGUCGCAUCAACUUGAGAAUGCCAACGAGGAAGUGCGCGGUCUCAGUCUGCGGCUACAGGAAAAUAAUAACUCGCGUCAGUCGUCUAUCGAUGAGCUAAGCAUGAAGGAGGAGGCACUGAAGCAACGCGACGAGAUGGUCUCCUGUUUGCUGGAGGAGUUAGUCAAGGUGCGCCAGGGCUCGGCCGAGAGUGAGGAUCAGAUACGAAAUUUGAAGGCGAAAAUCGAGGAGCUCGAGGAAGAUAAAAAGACGCUGCGGGAAACCACGCCGGAUAAUUCCGUAGCCCAUCUGCAAGACGAGCUGAUUGCCAGCAAGUUACGCGAGGCGGAGGCCUCGCUCUCCCUCAAGGAUCUCAAACAGCGCGUACAGGAGCUUAACAUGCAGUGGCAGCGACAGUUGGCCGAAAAUCAGCGUAACGAUCACUGCGCCGCCUCGGUUGAUUCCACACCCAAGAAACUCCUAACGAACUUUUUCGACAAUUCCAAGUCGACAGAGCACACUCAAAAGCUCGAGGAGGAGCUAAUGACGACGCGCAUCCGUGAAAUGGAAACGCUCACAGAGCUAAAAGAGCUGCGGCUGAAGGUGAUGGAGCUGGAGACACAGGUGCAGGUCUCCACGAAUCAGCUGAGGCGGCAGGACGAGGAGCACAAGAAGCUCAAGGAGGAGCUCGAAAUGGCCGUCACACGCGAAAAGGAGAUGGCCAACAAGGCGCGCGAACAGCAGCACAGAUACUCAGAUCUGGAAUCUCGCAUGAAGGAUGAACUGAUGAAUGUCAAAAUUAAGUUCACCGAACAGAGCCAAACGGUUGCCGAACUGAAACAGGAAAUUUCACGAUUGGAGACAAAGAACUCGGAAAUGCUUGCCGAGGGUGAACUGCGCGCUAAUCUAGAUGAUUCCGAUAAGGUGCGUGACCUGCAGGACAGGUUGGCUGACAUGAAGGCGGAGUAUCCCACGCCAAUAACCAGCCCCGACACUGAACCGUGGAAAUGGAUAAGUUAAGCUAAUUGAAAAAGAAAAUGCAAAACAAGCCAACAAAUUCAUCAUCGACCUGCCAAAUGCAUAUUACCUUAAAUUCCAGUUACUUCUUAAUCAAAUUCAACACAAAAUCAUCAAAUCAAAUUGAUAAAGAAAGUUCAGUUCCCUUAAGCUGACCCUUCCCAAUUAUUGUCAAUAUUGCAUUGACGGCGCUUAAAAGUCGAGGAAAAUUUACGGCCAACAAGCUGCGCAGCGCCUCCAUAC